rnacentral:rRNA from 1 species
AGUGAACGCUGGCGGUAGGCCUAACACAUGCAAGUCGAACGGCAGCACAGGAGAGCUUGCUCUCUGGGUGGCGAGUGGCGGACGGGUGAGAAAUACAUCGGAAUCUACUCUGGCGUGGGGGAUAACGUAGGGAAACUUACGCUAAUACCGCAUACGACCUACGGGUGAAAGCAGGGGACCGUCGGGCCUUGCGCGAUUGAAUGAGCCGAUGUCGGAUUAGCUAGUUGGCGGGGUAAAGGCCCACCAAGGCGACGAUCCGUAGCUGGUCUGAGAGGAUGAUCAGCCACUCUGGAACUGAGACACGGUCCAGACUCCUACGGGAGGCAGCAGUGGGGAAUAUUGGACAAUGGGCGCAAGCCUGAUCCAGCCAUACCGCGUGGGUGAAGAAGGCCUUCGGGUUGUAAAGCCCUUUUGUUGGGAAAGAAAUCCAGCUGGCUAAUACCCGGUUGGGAUGACGGUACCCAAAGAAUAAGCACCGGCUAACUUCGUGCCAGCCGCCGCCGUAA